rnacentral:rRNA from 1 species
UGCAGUCGAGCGAACAGACAAGGAGCUUGCUCCUUUGACGUUAGCGGCGGACGGGUGAGUAACACGUGGGUAACCUACCUAUAAGACUGGGAUAACUUCGGGAAACCGGAGCUAAUACCGGAUAAUAUUUCGAACCGCAUGGUUCGAUAGUGAAAGAUGGUUUUGCUAUCACUUAUAGAUGGACCCGCGCCGUAUUAGCUAGUUGGUAAGGUAACGGCUUACCAAGGCGACGAUACGUAGCCGACCUGAGAGGGUGAUCGGCCACACUGGAACUGAGACACGGUCCAGACUCCUACGGGAGGCAGCAGUAGGGAAUCUUCCGCAAUGGGCGAAAGCCUGACGGAGCAACGCCGCGUGAGUGAUGAAGGUCUUCGGAUCGUAAAACUCUGUUAUUAGGGAAGAACAUACGUGUAAGUAACUAUGCACGUCUUGACGGUACCUAAUCAGAAAGCCACGGCUAACUACGUGCCAGCAGCCGCGGUAAUACGUAGGUGGCAAGCGUUAUCCGGAAUUAUUGGGCGUAAAGCGCGCGUAGGCGGUUUUUUAAGUCUGAUGUGAAAGCCCACGGCUCAACCGUGGAGGGUCAUUGGAAACUGGAAAACUUGAGUGCAGAAGAGGAAAGUGGAAUUCCAUGUGUAGCGGUGAAAUGCGCAGAGAUAUGGAGGAACACCAGUGGCGAAAGCGACUUUCUGGUCUGUAACUGACGCUGAUGUGCGAAAGCGUGGGGAUC